rnacentral:misc_RNA from 1 species
UUUUUGCUUUCUGUUCUCGUCUUCCCCGCAUUUUCCGUCAAACAUGGGCCAUCUCGACCAGUGGCGUUCUCGCCAGAAGAUCGGCAUGGGCAAGGGUGCCCGCUGCUGCGUCAUCUGCUCCAACCAGAAGGCGCUGAUCCGCAAGUACGAGCUGAACGUGUGCCGUCAGUGCUUCCGUGAAAACGCCGAGCACAUCGGUUUCACCAAGCUGCGCUAAGCGCCUGGAUGGUGAGAGGGAAAGAGCCGAGUCUUCUUCUGCAAAGAUGAGGCGCAGUGGCUGUGGGAUGGUGAGGCCAGCAUGGGAGGAGAGAGCGGCCGGGCUAGUCUGUGCGCGCUGUAAAGGCAACAUGUGUGCGGAUACACCUGCUUCACGCUUGCACUGGCAUUCAUGUGUCCGGGUGCGUCUCUCCCUCCCUUUGCCUUUCCGCUUUCGGUGAGCGCCAUCUCGCCAUGGCGCUCAUCUUGAGUCAUCUACGCGAACAAGGGACGAGCUCACCACCUCCGCGAGUUCCUCUGCCAGUAUUUUCCUUUUUGUUACUGCCAUCGCCUUGUGUCUGUCCACGUGUGUGCGUGUGUAUAUGCGUACGCGUGUGUGCUCGGUGAUCAGCGAGACUAGACAUCAAAUGGAUAAACAGAUUUGUUGGCGCACCGGGGGUGGGGGCCAGGGAAGGUGCAAAGGCUGAGGGCGACUCCUCCUUUUUUCUCGGCACUCCCUCUCUCCUUUCCUCUGUGCCCGCUGUCCGUCUUCGAUCGCUUAUUCUACGUCACCUCUGACGGGACGGCCUGCGGCGCCCAUGCGUGGACGAUUUCAAAGGGCAGCAUCAUUUUCGGUAUUUUCCCUCCAAAAAGAAAAAAGAAGCGCGUCGUGCAGCGCAGCGGGCGUAGCAAGGCAACGCGCGAUUCACCCAGCAAAAUGUGGUAGGGAUUGGGAAUGCACCGGCAUUGUAGUCACUGACAACGAUGCUGUUUGACGUGCGCCACCUCUUCCACGUUCGAGAACCCUCGCCGCGUGUGCCGUUGUGUCACAGAUCUACAGACACGCUCAUGCCGCUCAUGGACAUGCGCACUCUCCCACAGGUGCUCUCCUCGUCGCAUUGCGCUGAUAGGGUGAGGGAAUGGGUGAGUUUGAGUGGGAGUGAAUCACGGACGCGCGACGCUGCUUGAAGUGGUGGGCCUGAGCGCUUUCAACGGUGGUGCACGCUUUUCAGCGAGUCGCAGUAUGCAACUCCGUGCAUGCGGUUGUCUGCUGUUGUUGUCAUCUGAUUUAACUACCUUUUUUUUCUCUUCCGCGACCUUUUCACUUCCUUUUGGCUGCAUGAACGUUUCACGACCUCGUCUCUCCCUCUCCUUCUCAUGGCUUCUCGUGCCCCACUUCCUUUGCCCACGGACGCUCACAACUGCUAUCAUUGCCAUGAAUUGCCGCUGCUGUCCGAGUGCAACUGCAG